rnacentral:rRNA from 1 species
UACGGGGGGAGCAAGCGUUGUUCGGAUUUACUGGGCGUAAAGGGCGCGUAGGCGGCCACGACAAGUCACUUGUGAAAUCUCCGGGCUUAACUCGGAACGGUCAAGUGAUACUGUCGAGCUAGAGUGCAGAAGGGGCAACUGGAAUUCUCGGUGUAGCGGUGAAAUGCGUAGAUAUCGAGAGGAACACCUGCGGCGAAGGCGGGUUGCUGGGCUGACACUGACGCUGAGGCGCGAAAGCCAGGGGAGCGAACGGG